GAUGAACGCUGGCGGCGUGCUUAACACAUGCAAGUCGAACGGAAAGGCCCAAGCUUGCUUGGGUACUCGAGUGGCGAACGGGUGAGUAACACGUGGGUGAUCUGCCCUGCACUUCGGGAUAAGCCUGGGAAACUGGGUCUAAUACCGGAUAGGACGAUGGUUUGGAUGCCAUUGUGGAAAGUUUUUUCGGUGUGGGAUGAGCUCGCGGCCUAUCAGCUUGUUGGUGGGGUAAUGGCCUACCAAGGCGUCGACGGGUAGCCGGCCGGAGAGGGUGUACGGCCACAUUGGGACUGAGAUACGGCCCAGACUCCUACGGGAGGCAGCAGUGGGGAAUAUUGCACAAUGGGCGCCAGCCUGAUGCAGCGACGCCGCGUGGGGGAUGACGGCCUUCGGGUUGUAAACUCCUUUCGCUAGGGACGAAGCGUUUUUGUGACGGUACCUGGAGAAGAAGCACCGGCUAACUACGUG
rnacentral:rRNA from 1 species